AGUGAUUCAUCAUUUUUCAAAGCAAUUCACAUUAAAAGAGCAGCACUGUAGCCAAAGAUUGACAGCUUCAUUUCAUAGUUCAGGACUGUUUAGCAGAGACUUCAUUCUUUUUCUGUCUCUAGCUUAACAACCAGAUUGACCCAGCCCUUCCAUAAUUUUUAGAUAAUUUUGGAAGAAAUUUGCAUGUGAAACCUUGGCAGUACUGAUUGCUUUUGAGACAGUGCACUCCAGUGUAUAUUCUUGACUGAAUUAUGCCCAAAUUACGCCUAAGCAGUCUGCGCUUGUAGUUAGCAAUGGUUGUGGGAAACAUCAGUUUCAUAUGCUUUUGUGCUUUGGUCCUUUAAUUCCCAUCCCCCAGGGAAAAACGUGCACCAGGCAUCAACUGUGCCUGGCAUCUCCCAUGAGCCUCUGCCUGCUUGCCCAGUCUCCACUCCAACAGCCAUAUACUGGGAGGGGUAUUUACACCACCUAAUUUUGGAAAUCCAGCCUUUUCUGUAAGCCCAAGUUACUGCUGCAGGCAACUGGGAGAGAGAGGCUCUUCCAAAGUGUGCCUUAGCUCACACCUAGUGUGGCAACUUUUCUUUCUCUCUUUUCACUACGUAGUAAGAUCAGAACACUGAUAUGGGCACCUAACUGACAUACAGAAAGGUAGAUGGUAUGAAUACUCAUUUUAAAGACUGAACAGCUAACAGUUUAGCUAACUGAAUUGGAUACAGGCAGCAUUAGAUGCCAGGGUCCAGCAGAAAAAUGCAGCUGUAAAGUAAAGAGAUUGAUAUAAUCAGGUUUAUCCUCUUGUUUAAUGUUGGGUUUAUUUUCUUAGACAUAGGCUAAAUUUGUCACAAAAUUUUACUGGGACACUUCACUUCAUAAUGAAGGAAACCAUUCACUGCUUCAUGCUGCUGCCUGCCAUACAGACUGCAUGUGCAGGCGAGUCAAGGAUGGGCUUUAUGUUGCAGGGUGGGGAUGAUAAUAUACAUGUGAACUAAGAAAAACUCCCCAAAAUCCGAGCCUUGAGCUGCAGUGGCCCUUGUGAAACCAAAUAUCAGCAAAUUGUUUCCUUUUUAUUUAUUAGCAGAAAUUGCAGAGAUGUUUUUUCCAUAACUUCUUUAUUCUUUUUUUUUGUCUAUGUAAUAAUUGUUAUGUUGUUUACAUACUAUUUUAACUUAAAAAGCAAAGUUAUUAAAGAAACUAACCUGAUUCAUUUUAUUGGUGGAAUUGGAACCGCCCCCCAAAAUAAAUACCUUUUCAAUGGAAAUUCAGAAAGAUUCCUAAUUUCAAACCACUCACUAGCUUUUUAUUUACUGUAUUCUUCUGGGAUAGAGCCUACUUUCUCAAGUGCAAUCUAUAUAUAUUUUUUGUUAUCUCAGUUAAAUGCAGCUUUCCUAGCAGUAUUUUUUACUUUAUGCAGUAUGUAAUGUGUCUUAUCUUGAUGAAAAAAUAAAUACUGCUUUUGGAAGAAG
rnacentral:lncRNA from 1 species